AUUGAACGCUGGCGGCAGGCCUAACACAUGCAAGUCGAGCGGAGCGGCGGACGGGUAAGUAAUGCCUAGGAAUCUGCCUGGUGGUGAGGGACCAAGUCGGGAGGCGGGAGAUAUUACCGCAUACUAUAAGAUGGGUCUAGGGCGGAUUAGCUAGUUGGAGGGGUAAAGGCUUACCAAGGCGACGAUCCGUAACCGGUCUGAGAGGAUGAUCAGUCACACUGGAACUGAGACACGGUCCAGACUCCUACGGGAGGCAGCAGUGGGGAAUAUUGGGCAAUGGGCGAAAGCCUGAUCCAGCCAUGCCGCGUGUGUGAAGAAGGUCUUCGGAUUGUAAAGCACUUUAAUUUGGGAGGCGUUACCAACAGAAUAAGCACCGGCUAACUUCGUGCCAGCAGCCGCGGUAAUUC
rnacentral:rRNA from 1 species